rnacentral:tRNA from 1 species
GCCGGUGUGGCGGAAUUGGCAGACGCGCGGGACUCAAAAUCCCGUUCUACUUGUGGAGUGUCGGUUCGACCCCGACCACCGGUA